AUUGAACGCUGGCGGCAUGCUUUACACAUGCAAGUCGAACGAGUGGCGCACGGGUGAGUAAUACAUCGGAACGUGUCCUAUCGUGGGGGAUAACUGAUCGAAAGAUCAGCUAAUACCGCAUACGAUUGGAGCGGCCGAGGCCCGAUUUGCUAGUUUGUGAGGUAAAGGCUCACCAAGGCGACGAUCGGUAGCUUGUCUCAGAGGACGACCAGCCACACUGGGACUUAGACACGGCCCAGAGUCCUACGGGAGGCAGCAGUGGGGAAUUUUGGACAAUGGGGGCAACCCUGAUCCAGCCAUGCCGCGUGCAGGAUGAAGGUCUUCGGAUUGUAAACUGCGUUUGGCAGGGAAGCGGUAAGAGAAGAAUAAGCACCGGCUAACUACGGGCCAGCAGCCGCGGUAAUAG
rnacentral:rRNA from 1 species